rnacentral:misc_RNA from 1 species
AGGAGGAUUCCGGGGUCGUGGAGGGGGAGGGGGAGGAGGAGGGUUCAGAGGUCGUGGGGGAUUCAGGGGGAGGUAACUCCAUUGACAAUCUACCAAACAUAGAUUCAGGUCGUGUGCAUUGUAUGUUGCGAUUUGUUAUGUUCUCUACUGAUGUUAUGCUGGCAGACGAUGUAAGGCAUAUUGGUUGGUUAAUGAUGUGUUCAUACAUUGUUGAAUAAUGCAUUGUUUUUUGUCAUUUAAAGAAGAUGAAACUCUUUUAUUUUACUGAAUCAUGUGAAGAAUCCUGUAUAAAUGUUCACUGUAGAGGAGAGAAAGAGGUGAUCAAUAAAUUGGUCAUUUACAGUAGUACUGUACAAUUCUAUAUUCAUAUUCAUGUCCUAUUUUUAGGACUCAUACAAAGUUUGUUACCUGUGUAUCGCUUUGAAAAUGUUGCAACAUGCAGGAUUUUAUGAAAUAAACAAUUAUACAUU